UAGCUCUCCACCUCCACCAAAGAAGUCUCCACAUCCGCCAUACCACUACACAUCACCACUUCCACCAAAGAAGUCUCCACCUCCUCCCUACUACUAUAGCUCUCCACCUCUACUAAAGAAGUCUCCACCUCCGCCAUACCACUACACAUCACCACCUCCACCAAAGAAGUCUCCACCUCCUCCAUACUACUACUCAUCACCACCUCCACUAAAAAAAUCUCCACCUCCUCCCUACUACUACAGCUCUCCACCUCCACCAAAGAAGUCACCACCUCUGCCAUACUACUACACAUCACCACCUUUAUCAAAGAAGUCUCCACCUCCUCCCUACUACUAUAGCUCUCCAUCUCCAUCAAAGAAGUCUCCACCACCUCCAUACCAUUACUCAUCACCACCUCCACCAAAGAAAUCUCCACCUCCUCCCUAUUAUUACAACUCUCCACCUCCACCAAAGAAGUCUCCACCUCCUCCGUACUACUAACUCUCCACCUCCACUAAAGAAGUCUCCACCUCCACCUUACUACUACUCAUCACCUCCUCCUCCAAAGAAGUCUCCACCUCCUUCCUACUACUACAACUCUCCACCUCCACCAGAAAAAUCUCCACCUCCUCCAUACCACUACUCAUCACCACCCCCACCAAAGAAGUCCCCGCCUCCUCCAUACCACUAUUCAUCACCUCCACCCAAGAAGUCUCCACCUCCUCCAUACUACUACAACUCUCCACCUCCACCAAAGAAGUCUCCACCUCCUCCAUACCACUACUCAUCACCACCUCCUCCGAAGAAGUUUCCAGCUCCCCCAUACUAUUAC
rnacentral:lncRNA from 1 species